rnacentral:rRNA from 1 species
UGGCGGACGGGUGAGUAACGCGUGGGUAACCUGCCUCACACAGGGGGAUAACAGUUGGAAACGACCGCUAAUACCGCAUAACCCGCUGGUAUCGCAUGAUACUGACGGAAAAGAUUUUAUCGGUGUGAGAUGGACCCGCGUCUGAUUAGCCAGUUGGCAGGGUAACGGCCUACCAAAGCGACGAUCAGUAGCCGGCCUGAGAGGGUGAACGGCCACAUUGGGACUGAGACACGGCCCAAACUCCUACGGAAGGCAGCAG